rnacentral:rRNA from 1 species
GACGAACGCUGGCGGCGUGCUUAACACAUGCAAGUCGAACGGAAAGGCCCUGCUUUUGUGGGGUGCUCGAGUGGCGAACGGGUGAGUAACACGUGAGUAACCUGCCCUUGACUUUGGGAUAACUUCAGGAAACUGGGGCUAAUACCGGAUAGGAGCUCCUGCUGCAUGGUGGGGGUUGGAAGGUUUCGGCGGUUGGGGAUGGACUCGCGGCUUAUCAGCUUGUUGGUGGGGUAGUGGCUUACCAAGGCUUUGACGGGUAGCCGGCCUGAGAGGGUGACCGGCCACAUUGGGACUGAGAUACGGCCCAGACUCCUACGGGAGGCAGCAGUGGGGAAUAUUGCACAAUGGGCUGAAGCCUGAUGCAGCAACGCCGCGUGCGGGAUGACGGCCUUCGGGUUGUAAACCGCUUUCGCCUGUGACGAAGCGUGAGUGACGGUAAUGGGUAAAGAAGCACCGGCUAACUACGUG